rnacentral:rRNA from 1 species
GACGAACGCUGGCGGCGUGCCUAAUACAUGCGAGUUGAGCGCUGAAGGUUGGUACUUGUACCGACUGGAUGAGCAGCGAACGGGUGAGUAACGCGUGGGGAAUCUGCCUUUGAGCGGGGGACAACAUUUGGAAACGAAUGCUAAUACCGCAUAAAAACUUUAAACACAAGUUUUAAGUUUGAAAGAUGCAAUUGCAUCACUCAAAGAUGAUCCCGCGUUGUAUUAGCUAGUUGGUGAAGUAAAGGCUCACCAAGGCGAUGAUACAUAGCCGACCUGAGAGGGUGAUCGGCCACAUUGGGACUGAGACACGGCCCAAACUCCUACGGGAGGCAGCAGUAGGGAAUCUUCGGCAAUGGACGAAAGUCUGACCGAGCAACGCCGCGUGAGUGAAGAAGGUUUUCGGAUCGUAAAACUCUGUUGGCAGAGAAGAACGUUGGUGAGAGUGGAAAGCUCAUCAAGUGACGGUAACUACCCAGAAAGGGACGGCUAACUACGUG